GGCCUGAUGGUCUAGUAGUAUGAUUCCUUGUUAGGGUGGUUGGACAAAGAGGUAUGUCCUAUUCGAGGAGGUCCCGGGUUCAAUUCCCGGUCAGGCCC